UACACUCCUGCGGGAGGCAGCAGUGGGGAAUAUUGCACAAUGGGCGCAAGCCUGAUGCAGCCAUGCCGCGUGUAUGAAGAAGGCCUUCGGGUUGUAAAGUACUUUCAGCGGGGAGGAAGGCAAUACGGUUAAUAACCGUGUUGAUUGACGUUACCCGCAGAAGAAGCACCGGCUAACUCCGUGCCAGCAGCCGCGGUAAUACGGAGGGUGCAAGCGUUAAUCGGAAUUACUGGGCGUAAAGCGCACGCAGGCGGUUUGUCAAGUCGGAUGUGAAAUCCCCGGGCUCAACCUGGGAACUGCAUUCGAAACUGGCAGGCUUGAGUCUUGUAGAGGGGGGUAGAAUUCCAGGUGUAGCGGUGAAAUGCGUAGAGAUCUGGAGGAAUACCGGUGGCGAAGGCGGCCCCCUGGACAAAGACUGACGCUCAGGUGCGAAAGCGUGGGGAGCAAACAGGAUUAGAAACCCUAGUAGUCCCA
rnacentral:rRNA from 1 species